rnacentral:rRNA from 1 species
UACGUAGGGUGCGAGCGUUAAUCGGAAUUACUGGGCGUAAAGCGUGCGCAGGCGGUUCGUUGUGUCGGCGGUGAAAGCCCCGGGCUCAACCUGGGAUGGCCGUUGAAACUGGCGAACUGGAGUGUGGCAGAGGGGGGUGGAAUUCCGCGUGUAGCAGUGAAAUGCGUAGAGAUGCGGAGGAACACCGAUGGCGAAGGCAGCCCCCUGGGCUGACACUGACGCUCAGGCACGAAAGCGUGGGGAGCAAACAGG